rnacentral:miRNA from 1 species
AGAGAAGUUGCCCAUGUUAUUUUCGCUUUAUAGGUGACGAAACAAACAUGGUGCACUUCUU